AGAGAUGUGGCUCAGUGGUAGAGCUCUUGCCUGACAUGCAUGAGGUGCUAGGUUCAAUCCCCAGGAUCACAA
rnacentral:tRNA from 1 species